UCUUCAUGGAUACCGUAGUAAAUCUNGAGCUAAUACAUGCUAAAAAUCCUGGACGCGGCAACGCGGAAGGGACGAGUUUAUUAGAUUAAAAACCGACACCUCUCCGCGAGGGGAGGUAGCACAGGUGAUUCACAGUAACCGAUCGGAUCGUCGGCCCCGCCGACGACGAUGCAUACGAGUUUCUGCCCUAUCAACUUUAGAUGGUAGAGUAUCGGUCUACCAUGGUCGUAACGGGCGACGGGGGAUUAGGGUUCGAUUCCGGAGAGGGAGCCUGAGAAACGGCUACCACUUCCAAGGAAGGCAGCAGGCGCGCAAAUUACCCAAUCCCGACACGGGGAGGUAGUGACAAGAAAUACCAUUGUAAUGUCUCCUCGAGAGGCUUACGAUUGGAAUGAGUACAAUUUAAAUCCCCUUAACGAGUAACGAUUGGAGGGCAAGUCUGGUGCCAGCANCCCGCGGUAAUUCCAGCUUCCAAUAGCGUAUAUUAAAGNU
rnacentral:rRNA from 1 species